GCUGGGCAUGGUGGCGGGUGCCUGUAAUCCCAGCUACUCGGGAGGCUGAGGCAGGAGAAUCGCUUGAACCCAGGAAGUGGAGGUUGCAGUGAGCCAAGAUUGUGCCACUGCACUCUAGCCUGGAUGACAGAGUGAGACUCUGUCUCAA
rnacentral:SRP_RNA from 1 species